rnacentral:rRNA from 1 species
AGCGAACGCUGGCGGCAGGCUUAACACAUGCAAGUCGAGCGGACCUUUCGGGGUCAGCGGCGGAAGGGUGAGUAACGCGUGGGAACGUGCCUUCCGGUUCGGAAUAACCCUGGGAAACUAGGGCUAAUACCGGAUACGCCCUUAUGGGGAAAGGUUUACUGCCGGAAGAUCGGCCCGCGUCUGAUUAGCUAGUUGGUGGGGUAACGGCCUACCAAGGCGACGAUCAGUAGCUGGUCUGAGAGGAUGAUCAGCCACACUGGGACUGAGACACGGCCCAGACUCCUACGGGAGGCAGCAGUGGGGAAUAUUGGACAAUGGGCGCAAGCCUGAUCCAGCCAUGCCGCGUGAGUGAUGAAGGCCUUAGGGUUGUAAAGCUCUUUUAUCCGGGACGAUAAUGACGGUACCGGAGGAAUAAGCCCCGGCUAACUUCGUG